CCUACGGGUGGCAGCAGUGAGGAAUAUUGGUCAAUGGGCGCGAGCCUGAACCAGCCAAGUAGCGUGAAGGAUGACUGCCCUACGGGUUGUAAACUUCUUUUAUAAAAGUAUAAUGUGAGACACGUGUGCCUUUUUGUAUGUACUUUGUGAAUAAGGAUCGUCUAACUCCGUCCCAGCAGCCGCGGUAAUACGGAGGAUCCGAGCGUUCUCCGGAUUUAUUGUGUUUAAAGGGAGCGUAGAUGGGUUGUUAAGUCAGUUGUGAAAGUUUGCGGCUCAACCGUAAAAUUGCAAUUGAUACUGGCAGUCUUGAGUACAGUUGAGGUAGGCGGAAUUCGUGGUGUAGCGGUGAAAUGCUUAGAUAUCACGAAGAACUCCGAUUGCGAAGGCAGCUUACUAAACUGCCACUGACAUUGAUGCUCGAAAGUGUGGGUAUCAAACAGGAUUAGAUACCCUAGUAGUC
rnacentral:rRNA from 1 species